CGUAUCCUCACUUACACCCACUAAUGCCCUUUUAUAUAAGUAUGAAUGACCAUCACAAGACUCAGUUCCAUGAUCCCUUGAAGAAUUGCUCACUUUUCAAUAUUUUUUCAAGAGUAAAACCAACAGUAUACAAACUGUUACAAGAUUAAUCUAAAUACAUUUUCUCCAAUAUUUACAUUACAAUUUUAUUUUCGUUUACUGUAGAAUGAUGGGAUGUAAAAUUGGCAGCCAGGGCAAAACAAGUAGUUUCUGAUUUCUCGUUAUUUUCUCUAUACCUUCUUGAAAUUAUUACAUUGCAAGUAUUGCAUAAUCUUUGAGAGUAAAAAUUGUUGAGCAUAGUUGUUGUUGUUGAAGUUGAGAAAGUUUGAAACAGUCAGAAAAAUUUUAGAAAAUGGUUUCAAGUUUGAUUACCCGAUCAGAAAACAGAAAUUUGGAAGCUGGCAUUUUCACAAAGUGAAAGCAAAAACAUUACGAAAAGUUUUAAUAACCAAAAUGAAAGCAAACAUUACAGCGAUGAAAGUUAUUCUAAUGACUUAAGUCAUGUGAAACAGUUGAACAACCGUGAAUAACCUUGUAAUUACAUGAAUAUUUUCGAUAAAGAAGGAAGACAGUAAAAUGGGAAAUUAAAAUAAACAUUUAAAAAAACGAAGGGAAGAGAAUAAUGAUAUACAACUGGUGAAAGAGGAAGCUUUUAUUUUGACUGCGCUUACUAAUGGCUAGCAGUGCAUGUUCAUUCACGCCGGUAUCGGAAAUAUUUCUGUCGUUAAUCAGACAUGUACAUGAUGAAAUUAAUAUUCGUUUGUA
rnacentral:lncRNA from 1 species